CCAACGGCUGCGCCACCCAGGCAUCCCAGCUAAGCUCCUUUUUAAAACUUUGAUGAAAAGUCAUCUCAGGAGCCUCUGCCUAUUUUUUCCAGGUUUCUGAAUUGAUUCAUCUCUAAAGUACACUGUCCUGCACCAAACUGCAGAUCAUCACACUGUCUGCCUUCUCCUUUGGAGUCACAGUUCAUCUCGACCUUGCUAUUUGUUUUCUUCUGUAAGGAGCUGGAGGCCAGUGGAUGCACAUUACACAAUUUUUAAGACAGAAGACAUAAUGCAUCAG
rnacentral:lncRNA from 12 species